rnacentral:misc_RNA from 1 species
GCAAACUUGGUCAUUUAGAGGAAGUAAAAGUCGUAACAAGGUUUCCGUAGGUGAACCUGCGGAAGGAUCAUUACAGGGUUAUGCCGGGAUAGUCUAAAAUCUAUCCAGGCAGCCAUGAUCAUCCCUUUGUGCAUAUAUUGAUAAUCGAGGGAUUUUUUUGCCAGACCUUAAAAUCUGUCAAAAUUCCCUCUAAUAAACUCUUUAUAUAGAAUUUGACUGAGUGAUUUUGUUAUUUGAUAAUAAAUACAACUUUCAACAACGGAUCUCUUGGCUCUCGCAUCGAUGAAGAACGCAGC